rnacentral:lncRNA from 1 species
CUCUUUCACAGGGGACUGGAUGGGGCCGUAACACAUCGAACAGCUGUACCUCCUCUGAAAAGCCAUUUCAGGUGAACCAAAGCAUUCUGCCCCUACGAGGAAGAAAGGGAGGCAGUGAGGAGAGAAUCAGGCCCAAAGAGCUGGGCCCAAGUGACAUUUAUAAAUAGGAACAUGGAAACUCACGGAAGAAGCCAAGCAAGACAUUUUUUUCCCUCUACAUGUGUCAGCACUUCCCAGAUGUGAUGAUGGUAUUUGAAAGAGCAUGAUCUGGAAAUCCUGAGCCGUGCUGCCACAAGAAAAUGGAUGCACAGAGGACAAGGCCAGGCAGCGCAGGUCUUCAUUACACUGAGACUUUGCCUGAGUCCCAUGGUGCCCCAGUGCCCUGGCCUGGGCACAUCAGCACUGCCUUCUGUCCAGGCCCCAUGAGUCUCAGAUGGUGGACCCUGGUGACGGAAGGCUGGGUAGAUGCCAUGGACCUUUCCAUAGGUCAUAGCCACAGCUGAGCACUUGGUGUCUUACUACUCAGUGGAGAGGAGAAGUGUGCUGAAGGGUGGUAAGAGAGUGUGUCCAGGGGCCCAGACCAGAGUGGGCCAUGCCUCAUCUAGAGAGCAAGCAUCUUCCAGAAAGGAGAGCCCUUGGGUCCUUUUACAGAAGCAAUCAGAAAAACAUCGGGAAUCUCCCAGAAGACUGAAUGUAAGAGGACGAAGGGUCCGGGCACAGUGGCUCAUUCCUGUAAUCCCAGAACUUUGGGAGACUGAGGUGAGUGGAUCACUUGAGGUCAGGAGUUCGAGACCAGCCUGAACAACAUGGUGAAACCCCAUCUCUACUAAAAAUACAAUAUUAGCUGGGCAUAGUGGCGCAUGCCUGUAAUCCCAGCUACUCAGGAGGCUGAGGCAGGAGAAUCGCUUGAACCCAGGAGGAGGAGGUUGCAGUGAGCCGAGAUUGCAUCACCGCAUUCCAGCCUGGGCAACAAAGCAAGACUUCAUCACACACACACACACACACACACACACACACACACACACACAAACGAAACAACAACAACAACAAAACCAAAAAAAAAGAAAAAGAAAAGUCAGGUCUGGGGAGCUGAAGUGGCUGACAGAGGAGGAGGAGAAUUAUCUGCAGUGCUUCCCAAAUUCAGGACACUCACCCAGUGCAUCUCAAAGCCUGAGUCCUCAUAUCUCUUCUGGGGAAAGGAGAGAAAGAAUUGCUGGUGGAUUCUGCUGUGUUUUGCCUUGAGGUCAUUAUGGGCAAAAUUUCACACCUAUAAGGCCCAUUGCUGAGGAGGGAGUGGACCUCUGUGAUUCCUCUUGAGCAAAGGAAUAAACAUCCUAAGUUUGUGAGUAAAGCGUCCAUCACAUUCUCUGGAGCCAUCACUGCUGUUUGGAGAGGUGGGAGUUGAGAGAGGCCAUUACUGGGCAGAACCU